CCGCGGUGAUACGGAGGGUGCGAGCGUUAUCCGGAAUUACUGGGUUUAAAGGGUGCGUAGGCGGCUAGAUAAGUCAGGAGUGAAAGCUCGAGGCUCAACUUCGGAAUUGCUUUUGAUACUGUUUAGCUUGAAUUAGGAUGAGGUUAGCGGAAUGUGGCAUGUAGCGGUGAAAUGCAUAGAUAUGCCAUAGAACACCAAUUGCGAAGGCAGCUAACUGGAUCUAUAUUGACGCUGAGGCACGAAAGCGUGGGGAGCGAACAGGACUAGAUACCCUGGUAGUCCACGCCCUAAACGAUGCUAACUCGAUGUUUGGACUUUAGUUUGAGCAUCCAAGGGAAACCGUUAAGUUAGCCACCUGGGGAGUACGUCGGGCAACGAUGAAACUCAAAGGAAUUGACGGGGGUCCGCACAAGCGGUGGGAGCAUGUGGUUUAAUUCGAUGAUACGCGAGGAACCUUACCUGGGCUCGAACGCUAUUUGCCUUACCCUGAAAGGGGUAAUUCUUUCGAGACGGAUAGUGAGGUGCUGCAUGGUUGUCGUCAGCUCGUGCCGUGAGGUGUUGGGUUAAGUCCCGCAACGAGCGCAACCCUUAUCUCUAGUUGCCAGCAAGUAAAGUUGGGGACUCUAGAGAGACUGCCGGCGCAAGCCGUGAGGAAGGUGGGGAUGACGUCAAAUCAUCAUGGCCUUUAUGCCCAGGGCGACACACGUGCUACAAUGGUCGGUACAGAGGGUAGCGAAGCAGAGAUGUGGAGCCAAUCCCAGAAAGCCGAUCCCAGUUCGGAUUGGAGUCUGGAACUCGACUUCAUGAAGGUGGAAUCGCUAGUAAUCGCGCAUCAGCCAUGGCGCGGUGAAUACGUUCCCGGACCUUGUACACACCGCCCGUCAAGCCAUGGGAGCCGGGGGUACCUGAAGAUGGUGACUUUACGGGGAGCUAUCUAAGGUAAAACUGGUAACUGGGGUGAAGUCGUAACAAGG
rnacentral:rRNA from 1 species